AUGAUGAUCGCCACUGUUUCUGCGCAUGAUUCGGAUGUGGUCAAAAGCGUGAAGAAGAAUUGGAUUCUGAAGCUAUUUACAAGAGUUUUGUUCUUAGGGUUAUGGCAGCUAGAAGUCCUAAUGUUCAACUCAGAAGCUUUCCUGUUUUUUUUUUGUUUUAUUCAACUUAGAGAGAGAGAGAGGAUUGUGUUCUUAUUCGAAUUUCUUGUUUAUUGUCUUAUUGGAAACAAUAAUAUUAUUCUGAUUGUCCCUUCCCAAGACACAACUAAAUGGCGCCUUUUUCUAUGUAUUAGGGUUACAAAACUUUUCCUUGUUUCUUCCCCAAAACCG